rnacentral:rRNA from 1 species
GACGAACCGUGCAAACGUUGUUCGGAAUCACUGGGCUUAAAGGGCGCGUAGGCGGUCGAUCACGUCCGGGGUGAAAUCUUUCGGCUUAACCGGAAAAGGGCCUUGGAUACGGAUCGGCUGGAGGGAGGUAGGGGCAGGUGGAACUUCCAGUGGAGCGGUGAAAUGCGUUGAUAUUGGAAGGAACGCCGGUGGCGAAAGCGACCUGCUGGACCUCUUCUGACGCUGAGGCGCGAAAGCCAGGGGAGCAAACGGG